UGGACAAAUUAUUGUAUUCGACUGUAUUCACAGCGUGAAAUAGGGGAUUGCACUGUUUUUAAACGGAAAGUGAAUCAAUUAACAUAAUAGACUUCU
rnacentral:pre_miRNA from 1 species